rnacentral:rRNA from 1 species
GACAGAGGUGCCGAGCGUUAGGCGGAAUCACUGGGCUUAAAGCGUGUGUAGGCGGAUCGUUAAGUACCUUGUGAAAUCCCACGGCUCAACCGUGGAACUGCUGGGUAUACUGGCGGUCUUGAGCCACCUAGGGGCGAGCGGAACAAGCGGUGGAGCGGUGAAAUGCGUAGAUAUCGCUUGGAACGCCGACGGUGAAAACAGCUCGCUGGGGGUGUGCUGACGCUGAGACACGAAAGCCAGGGGAGCGAACAGG